GCUAAUCUAUUUGUGGAGUUGUUUUCCUUGAUCAUCCACCGAUCAAAAGUAGACAAAGGGAUCUCUUAUUUCUUGUAUGAAGGUCCAUGAAGAGUUUUUUUCAAAAACUUUAUGCUAACUGAUCUUAGGAUUUAAGAAAGACACAAGAAACAUAUGAUCAAUCUUUGAUCCCUCUAAUAGAUCUAAGUUAUAACCCAUUAAUCCAAUUCAUUUGAUUAUUCAGGAAGCAAAUUAAAAAUAGAGCUUAAUUUAUGAUUUCCUCUUCUAAGA
rnacentral:lncRNA from 1 species